GCUCCGUCAUCCCAGUGUUCAGACUACCUGUUCAGGAUCUUACUGGUGUACAGUAGUCUGCACAUUGGUUAGACUGUGCA
rfam:Oreochromis niloticus linkage group LG23, whole genome shotgun sequence.